GAUCAUGGCUCAGAUUGAACGCUGGCGGCAGGCCUAACACAUGCAAGUCGAACGGUAACAGGAAGAAGCUUGCUCUUUGCUGACGAGUGGCAGACGGGUGAGUAAUGUCUGGGAAACUGCCUGAUGGAGGGGGAUAACUACUGGAAACGGUAGCUAAUACCGCAUAACGUCGCAAGACCAAAAAGGGGGGACCUUCGGGCCUCUUGCCAUCGGAUGUGCCCAGAUGGGAUUAGCUAGUAGGUGGGGUAACGGCUCACCUAGGCGACGAUCCCUAGCUGGUCUGAGAGGAUGACCAGCCACACUGGAACUGAGACACGGUCCAGACUCCUACGGGAGGCAGCAGUGGGGAAUAUUGCACAAUGGGCGCAAGCCUGAUGCAGCCAUGCCGCGUGUAUGAAGAAGGCCUUCGGGUUGUAAAGUACUUUCAGCGGGGAGGAAGGGAGUAAAGUUAAUACCUUUGCUCAUUGACGUUACCCGCAGAAGAAGCACCGGCUAACUCCGUG
rnacentral:rRNA from 1 species